AUUUAAGGAAGACAGUCUAAGUGCGCGGUGUCCUGUCGCAACGACUGCAUGACCUACAUCCUGUAUA
rnacentral:sRNA from 1 species